rnacentral:rRNA from 1 species
UCAACCUGAGAGUUUGAUCCUGGCUCAGAGCGAACGCUGGCGGCAGGCCUAACACAUGCAAGUCGAACGGACCCUUCGGGGUUAGUGGCGGA